GAGUUUGAUCCUGGCUCAGAUUGAACGCUAGCGGCAUGCCUAACACAUGCAAGUCGAACGGCAGCGCGAGGAGCUUGCUCCUUGGCGGCGAGUGGCGGACGGGUGAGUAACGCGUAGGAAUCUACCUUAUAGUGGGGGAUAACCCGGGGAAACUCGGGCUAAUACCGCAUAAUCUCUACGGAGCAAAGCGGGGGAUCUUCGGACCUCGUGCUAUUAGAUGAGCCUGCGUCGGAUUAGCUUGUUGGUGGGGUAACAGCCUACCAAGGCAACGAUCCGUAGCUGGUCUGAGAGGACGAUCAGCCACACUGGGACUGAGACACGGCCCAGACUCCUACGGGAGGCAGCAGUGGGGAAUAUUGGACAAUGGGGGCAACCCUGAUCCAGCAAUGCCGCGUGUGUGAAGAAGGCCUUCGGGUUGUAAAGCACUUUCAGUGGGGAAGAAAGGCUCAAGGUUAAUAACCUUGAGAGUUGACGUUACCCACAGAAGAAGCACUGGCUAACUCUGUGCCAGCAGCCGCGGUAAUA
rnacentral:rRNA from 1 species